GGCUUCUGCGAAAGAUGGCGAAACCGGCGAGCCGGAGUUGAAGAUCCUCCUACAAUCGGGACCAUCCCCAGCUUCACCAAAUAGUAAUCAGAGAAACAAGCAAUUCAUGACACUCGUAGAUGUUUGUCAAACUUGCAUAGUUGUAUAUUUUUGUGAUUCGUAAAGUGGUGAAGGAUGGAGCUCAGAGUUGGAAAUAAGUAUCGGCUUGGUCGCAAGAUCGGCAGUGGCUCCUUCGGAGACAUCUACCUAGGUACCAACAUUACAAACGGGGAGGAGGUAGCAAUCAAAUUAGAAUGUUUAAAAACAAAGCACCCGCAGCUCCACAUAGAGAGCAAAUUCUACAAGAUGAUGCAGGGAGGAGGUAAGUGAAAGCAAAAAAAAAUCAAUUUCCUAAACCCCUAACUUGAUUUACUAUUUCAUACCCAUGGAGCUAGUAGCUCCAUGCUCAUCCCCAUUUUCCCUCUAGCUAAACAUUUUUUGGUUAAGGGCAGAAUUCUGAGGGAGAUGUCGAAAAGGCUUUGUCAAGGCUCUGUCACAUCUUCCCAUCGCACACCAGGGCCCUGUCUUACAAAGAGUUGCGACUGAUCCGAUCAAUCACAACUAUGGACGGCCAGCAUCGUCAACAUCUAUUAUGCAUGUUUGUUCAGAUAUUUUCUAACUAUGAUGUAUAUUCAUGCAUUUAUUGUCUUGAAAAUGCACUAUGCUUCUCUUUGUUUACAAAGGACAUUGUGCAAAUUUUCUGUUGAAAAAAAUUAUGACACUGAUGGAUUUCCAUAGAGUUAUGAUUGAUUGGAUCAAUUGUAACUCUUUGUAAGACGGGGCCCUGGCUUGCACGGAACAAUGUGACAGAGCCAUAAUGUGUUUGUUGCAUUCUUGUAUUGUUUAUUGGUCAUUUUGACCAGAACAAAUACUGGCUGGUUGAAAUUGUCUGAACAUCAUUUCAUGUAAAUUACAGACCAAUUGAGCAUCAAAAACUAAAUAAGCUACUGAAGUUGAACCAAAAAAUGAAAACUUAUUCCGUGAUUCAUGCCUCCAGCGCCUUUAUUCCCUAACAACAGAGCUAUUGAAUAAGAGCAGCACAAAGGUCAUCCUGUAAAUGAAGAAAAAAUAUCCAACCUCCAUCCAGUCUCAAACUGGCCCCACUCUCUUUUAAUGUACUUGGAAGUGUCAAGCAUCAAAAAUACUUCCAAGGCUGAGUGAGCUCUUUGGUUUGAACCCCGAAGCCAUUCGCUAAGUUUUAACGAUAACAUGCACUCAUACAUUUAUGCUGGAAUUAAGCAUCCAAAGAAAAUAACAAUUUAACAGUGCUGCAUUCAGUGCAUUCAGGCCUCGUGCGUUUUUCAUUUUCUUUGCCUAGCCCAAGUUUAUUGUGAGCAACGAUGACUAACUGGUGGCGAUGGGGCAAAACGCAUCAGAGUCUGAAUGAUAUUGAUGCAAGGUAGUCUUGGGGUUCAGUCUAUUUUGUCGAAUC